GUCAGUUAUCUUGAUGCGUGUCUUGCGUUGUCUUAUCAAGUGUAUGAACCGUGGGAAACAUUUUUUUUUCUUAUUCUGCGUAGGGACGCUCUGGUUGUGUCAUUGUAUUACAGCUUACGCUAUGAAUAAAAAACAAAUAUUUAAAAAGGAUAUAUUCAAUAAAAGUUUUACCACUUUAACAUUGAAUGCCAAGUAGGAGUGAGCAUUGCUAAGCUUGUUCAAUCUGCCAAUACUGACAGCCUUCCCUGGAACGUAUCCCGAGCUACGGGCCCGCUGGAAUAUGAGAGACCGUAGAGAUAGCCAGGAAAGAAUCGUGCCACACCCCCCGUCGCCGUGAAUUCAUUACAACUAGGUCACAAGUGUCCGGUCGCCAUGGCUGCUGAUACUGCUAGUGUCUUUGUGUU
rnacentral:sRNA from 1 species